AAAUGAAUUGACGGGGGCCCGCACAAGCGGUGGAGCAUGUGGUUCAAUUCGACGCAACGCGAAGAACCUUACCCAGGCUUGAACUGCGAGUGACAUCCGGCGAAAGUCGGCUUCCGCAAGGACGCUCGUAGAGGUGCUGCAUGGCUGUCGUCAGCUCGUGUCGUGAGAUGUUGGGUUAAGUCCCGCAACGAGCGCAACCCUCGUUCUCUGUUGCCAUCAGGUUAUGCUGGGCACUCUGAGGAGACUGCCGGUGACAAACCGGAGGAAGGUGGGGAUGACGUCAAGUCAGCAUGGCCUUUAUGUCUGGGGCUACACACGUGCUACAAUGGCCGGUACAAACCGCUGCGAUCCCGCGAGGGGGAGCUAAUCGGAGAAAGCCGGUCUCAGUUCGGAUUGCAGGCUGCAACCCGCCUGCAUGAAGUUGGAAUCGCUAGUAAUCGCAGAUCAGCAGGCUGCGGUGAAUACGUUCCCGGGCCUUGUACACACCGCCCGU
rnacentral:rRNA from 1 species